GAUAUCAACUGAAAAAGUCAUCAACAACAAAGUUGAAUAACUCAUCAAGAUCUAAAACUUUUAUUUUGGUCAUUUCUUCAUACGACAAAGUGAUAGUAACAUUAUUCACAAAAUUGACAUAUCUCUUAUCUGGUUUUAUAAACUAUAACACAUAUAUGUAAAAUUUGUGAAUAAUAUUACUAACAUUUCGUCAAAUGAAGAAAUAACAAAAAUAAAAGUUUUAGAUCUUGAUGAGUUAUUCAACUUUGUUGUUGAUGACUUUUUCAAUUGAAAUC
rfam:Oryza sativa Japonica Group DNA, chromosome 4, cultivar: Nipponbare, complete sequence.